GGGAUAACUACUGGAAACGGUAGCUAAUACCGCAUAACGUCGCAAGACCAAAGAGGGGGACCUUCGGGCCUCUUGCCAUCGGAUGUGCCCAGAUGGGAUUAGCUUGUUGGUGGGGUAACGGCUCACCAAGGCGACGAUCCCUAGCUGGUCUGAGAGGAUGACCAGCCACACUGGAACUGAGACACGGUCCAGACUCCUACGGGAGGCAGCAGUGGGGAAUAUUGCACAAUGGGCGCAAGCCUGAUGCAGCCAUGCCGCGUGUAUGAAGAAGGCCUUCGGGUUGUAAAGUACUUUCAGCGGGGAGGAAGGGAGUAAAGUUAAUACCUUUGCUCAUUGACGUUACCCGCAGAAGAAGCACCGGCUAACUCCGUGCCAGCAGCCGCGGUAGUACGGAGGGUGCAAGCGUUAAUCGGAAUUACUGGGCGUAAAGCGCACGCAGGCGGUUUGUUAAGUCAGAUGUGAAAUCCCCGGGCUCAACCUGGGAACUGCACCUGAUACUGGCAAGCUUGAGUCUCGUAGAGGGGGGUAGAAUUCCAGGUGUAGCGGUGAAAUGCGUAGAGAUCUGGAGGAAUACCGGUGGCGAAGGCAGCCCCCUGGACGAAGACUGACGCUCAGGUGCGAAAGCGUGGGGAGCAAACAGGAUUAGAUACCCUGGUAGUCCACGCCGUAAACGAUGUCGACUUGGAGGUUGUGCCCUUGAGGCGUGGCUUCCGGAGCU
rnacentral:rRNA from 1 species